rnacentral:rRNA from 1 species
GACGAACCACACAAACGUUAUUCGGAAUUACUGGGCUUAAAGGGUGCGUAGGCUGUGCGGAAAGUUGGGUGUGAAAUCCCCCGGCUCAACCGGGGAAUUGCGCCCAAAACUACCGUGCUUGAGGAAGACAGAGGUGAGCGGAACUUCGGGUGGAGCGGUGAAAUGCGUUGAUAUCCGAAGGAACACCGGUGGCGAAAGCGGCUCACUGGGUCUUUUCUGACGCUGAUGCACGAAAGCUAGGGGAGCGAACAGG